rnacentral:rRNA from 1 species
AUGCAAGUCGAACGGUAACAUUUCUAGCUUGCUAGAAGAUGACGAGUGGCGGACGGGUGAGUAAUGCUUGGGAACUUGCCUUUGUGAGGGGGAUAACAGUUGGAAACGACUGCUAAUACCGCAUAAUGUCUUCGGACCAAACGGGGCUUCGGCUCCGGCGCAAAGAGAGGCCCAAGUGAGAUUAGCUAGUUGGUAAGGUAACGGCUUACCAAGGCGACGAUCUCUAGCUGUUCUGAGAGGAAGAUCAGCCACACUGGGACUGAGACACGGCCCAGACUCCUACGGGAGGCAGCAGUGGGGAAUAUUGCACAAUGGGGGAAACCCUGAUGCAGCCAUGCCGCGUGUGUGAAGAAGGCCUUCGGGUUGUAAAGCACUUUCAGUUGUGAGGAAAAGUUAGUAGUUAAUACCUGCUAACCGUGACGUUAACAACAGAAGAAGCACCGGCUAACUCCGUGCCAGCAGCCGCGGUAAUACGGAGGGUGCGAGCGUUAAUCGGAAUUACUGGGCGUAAAGCGCAC